GCUCCAAUAGCGUAUACUAAUGUUGUUGCAGUUAAAAAGCUCGUAGUCGGAUUUCAGUAGGCUCAGUUAAGUCUCUUCUAUUGAGUUCUUUAUGGGCCUGCUUCUUUGACAGAAACUUCUAUGUUAUUCAUUUAGCGUGGGUAGCGACUGUCUCUUUUACUUUGAGAAAAUUAGAGUGUUCAAAGCAGGUAUUCGCCUGA
rnacentral:rRNA from 1 species